GCUCAGGAUGAACGCUAGCUACAGGCUUAACACAUGCAAGUCGAGGGGCAUCAGGAAGAAAGCUUGCUUUCUUUGCUGGCGACCGGCGCACGGGUGAGUAACACGUAUCCAACCUGCCCUUUACUCGGGGAUAGCCUUUCGAAAGAAAGAUUAAUACCCGAUAGCAUAAUGAUUCCGCAUGGUUUCAUUAUUAAAGGAUUCCGGUAAAGGAUGGGGAUGCGUUCCAUUAGGUUGUUGGUGAGGUAACGGCUCACCAAGCCUUCGAUGGAUAGGGGUUCUGAGAGGAAGGUCCCCCACAUUGGAACUGAGACACGGUCCAAACUCCUACGGGAGGCAGCAGUGAGGAAUAUUGGUCAAUGGGCGCUAGCCUGAACCAGCCAAGUAGCGUGAAGGAUGAAGGCUCUAUGGGUCGUAAACUUCUUUUAUAUAAGAAUAAAGUGCAGUAUGUAUACUGUUUUGUAUGUAUUAUAUGAAUAAGGAUCGGCUAACUCCGUGCCAGCAGCCGCGGUAAUACGGAGGAUCCGAGCGUUAUCCGGAUUUAUUGGGUUUAAAGGGAGCGUAGGUGGACUGGUAAGUCAGUUGUGAAAGUUUGCGGCUCAACCGUAAAAUUGCAGUUGAUACUGUCAGUCUUGAGUACAGUAGAGGUGGGCGGAAUUCGUGGUGUAGCGGUGAAAUGCUUAGAUAUCACGAAGAACUCCGAUUGCGAAGGCAGCUCACUGGACUGCAACUGACACUGAUGCUCGAAAGUGUGGGUAUCAAACAGGAUUAGAUACCCUGGUAGUCCACACAGUAAACGAUGAAUACUCGCUGUUUGCGAUAUACAGUAAGCGGCCAAGCGAAAGCAUUAAGUAUUCCACCUGGGGAGUACGCCGGCAACGGUGAAACUCAAAGGAAUUGACGGGGGCCCGCACAAGCGGAGGAACAUGUGGUUUAAUUCGAUGAUACGCGAGGAACCUUACCCGGGCUUAAAUUGCAGUGGAAUGAUGUGGAAACAUGUCAGUGAGCAAUCACCGCUGUGAAGGUGCUGCAUGGUUGUCGUCAGCUCGUGCCGUGAGGUGUCGGCUUAAGUGCCAUAACGAGCGCAACCCUUAUCUUUAGUUACUAACAGGUUAUGCUGAGGACUCUAGAGAGACUGCCGUCGUAAGAUGUGAGGAAGGUGGGGAUGACGUCAAAUCAGCACGGCCCUUACGUCCGGGGCUACACACGUGUUACAAUGGGGGGUACAGAAGGCAGCUAGCGGGUGACCGUAUGCUAAUCCCAAAAGCCUCUCUCAGUUCGGAUCGAAGUCUGCAACCCGACUUCGUGAAGCUGGAUUCGCUAGUAAUCGCGCAUCAGCCACGGCGCGGUGAAUACGUUCCCGGGCCUUGUACACACCGCCCGUCAAGCCAUGGGAGCCGGGGGUACCUGAAGUACGUAACCGCAAGGAUCGUCCUAGGGUAAAACUGGUG
rnacentral:rRNA from 1 species